rnacentral:rRNA from 1 species
AUUGAACGCUGGCGGCAUGCCUUACACAUGCAAGUCGAACGGUAACAGGUCUUCGGAUGCUGACGAGUGGCGAACGGGUGAGUAAUACAUCGGAACGUGCCUAGUAGUGGGGGAUAACUACUCGAAAGAGUGGCUAAUACCGCAUGAGAUCUACGGAUGAAAGCAGGGGAUCGCAAGACCUUGUGCUACUAGAGCGGCCGAUGGCAGAUUAGGUAGUUGGUGGGAUAAAAGCUUACCAAGCCGACGACCUGUAGCUGGUCUGAGAGGACGAUCAGCCACACUGGGAGUGAGAGACGGCCCAGACUCCGACGGGAGGCAGGAGUGGGGAGUUUUGGACAAUGGGCGCAAGCCUGAUCCAGCAAUGCCGCGUGCAGGAUGAAGGCCUUCGGGUUGUAAACUGCUUUUGUACGGAACGAAAAGCCCUGGGUUAAUACCCUGGGGUCAUGACGGUACCGUAAGAAUAAGCACCGGCUAACUACGUGCCAGCAGCCGCAGUAACAC